AUAUGUUUCAAUUGGAAAUAUAUAUCGUAAUUUUUGAAAAACAAAAAUUUAAUUCAUCGGAGUACGUGUACUGCUCAACUGUUCGUGAAUAAAUGCAAAGUGGUAAACGUGCACGCGGACACUUCAAUACAUCGAAAGAGCGAUGUGGCCGCUGGCCAUAGACAUCUGAGCUACUACUUCGAUUCGACGUUGAAGGAGACGCACGGUACUUAAGAUAACUAG